UCUCGUGUCGUACAACGGUUAGUAUACCCGCCUUUCACGCGGGCGAUCGGGGUUCGAUUCCCCGCACGAGAA